AUGAUGAUCAGGGACGAGACUGCGGCCGAUCUGAUCGACCUCCGGAGGACAAUAUGCCACAUAAUAAUGUCAACCGUGGACAUCGAGGAAGCCGGGCACAGGCUAUCGUCGGUGGUGAGGCCCGGCCAGGAGACCGAGGUGUGCACCAUGAUCAUCGAGUGCUGCCGGCAGGAGAGGGCGUAUACCCGUUACCAUGGGCAGCUCGCGCAGCGGCUCUGCGCCCUCGGCGACGACCGGGCGUACCAGGCCGGCUUCGAAGCCUGCUUCGCGCGGCUCUACACGGCGGUGCACCGCAUGGACACCGACGAGGUACGUGGCCCCGCCAGGCUCUACGCGCACCUGCUGGCGACGAACGCCGUCUCGUGGCGCGGCGUGCUUGCCGGCCGUGUCAGGUUGACGGAGGAGGACACCACGUCUUCAUCGCGCAUGUUCCUCAAGGUGCUCUUCCAGGAGCUGCUGGAGCGGCUCGGGAUAUGGCUGGUCCGGCGGAGGAUGAUCGACGACGACCCGGUGGUCCGGGAUGCCCUCUUCCCCACUGACUCGGCCAAGAAUACAAGAUUCGCCAUCAACUUCUUCACGGCGAUUGGCCUGGGAGGAGUCACGGAAUCAGCCAGGGAGCAUCUAGUCAACAACAGAUCCUACAGUACCUAA
rnacentral:rRNA from 1 species